rnacentral:rRNA from 1 species
GACGAACGCUGGCGGCGUGCUUAACACAUGCAAGUCGAGCGGUAAGGCCCUUCGGGGUACACGAGCGGCGAACGGGUGAGUAACACGUGGGUGACCUGCCCUCAGCUUCGGGAUAAGCCUGGGAAACCGGGUCUAAUACCGGAUAGGACUCAUGGGCGCAUGCCUGUGUGUGGAAAGUUUUUCGGCUGGGGAUGGGCCCGCGGCCUAUCAGCUUGUUGGUGGGGUGAUGGCCUACCAAGGCGGUGACGGGUAGCCGGCCUGAGAGGGCGACCGGCCACACUGGGACUGAGACACGGCCCAGACUCCUACGGGAGGCAGCAGUGGGGAAUAUUGCGCAAUGGGCGGAAGCCUGACGCAGCGACGCCGCGUGGGGGAUGACGGCCUUCGGGUUGUAAACCUCUUUCGCCAGGGACGAAGCUUUUGUGACGGUACCUGGAGAAGAAGCACCGGCCAACUACGUGCCAGCCGCCGCCGUAACAC